AGGUUUGGUCCCAACCUUGAAAUCAGUUUUUACUUAACUUACACAUGCAAGUCUCCGCACACCNGUGAAAACGCCCUUCCCACCCUUCAGGAAUAAGGAGCUGAUAUCAGGCACACAUUACCCAAAACAUCUAGCCACGCCACACCCACAAGGGCCCUCAGCAGUGAUUAACAUUAAAAAUAAACGUCAGUUUGACUUAGUUAAAUGAAAACAGAGCCGGCCAAUCUGGUGCCAGCCGCCGCGGUUACACCAUGUGGCUCAAAUUGAUCUCAACACGGCGUAAAGCGUGAUUAAAGAAAUAUACCUCUGGGGCCAAACUAAAACUAAGCUGUAGUACGCCUGUUUUUAAGAAGCCCUAUUUCGAAAGAUGCCCCAACUCACCAACUUGAACUCACAACAACUAGAACACAAACUGGGAUUAGAUACCCCACUAUGCCUAGUCAUAAACUUUAACUUACACCACAAUCGCCAGGGAACUACGAGCAAAGCUUAAAACCCAAAGGACUUGACGGUACCCCAUAUCCCCCUAGAGGAGC
rnacentral:rRNA from 1 species